CCUUCGAUAGCUCAGUUGGUAGAGCGGAGGACUGUAGAGGCGAUUCAGCUGAAAUCCUUAGGUCGCUGGUUCAAAUCCGGCUCGAAGGA
rnacentral:tRNA from 1 species